rnacentral:rRNA from 1 species
CACGUAGGGCGCGAGCGUUGUCCGGAAUUAUUGGGCGUAAAGAGCUCGUAGGCGGCCUGUUGCGUCCGCUGUGAAAGCCCGGGGCUUAACCCCGGGUCUGCAGUGGAUACGGGGCAGGCUAGAGGUAGGUAGGGGAGAAUGGAAUUCCCGGUGUAGCGGUGAAAUGCGCAGAUAUCGGGAGGAACACCGGUGGCGAAGGCGGUUCUCUGGGCCUUACCUGACGCUGAGGAGCGAAAGCGUGGGGAGCGAACAGGG